UACGUAGGGUGCGAGCGUUAAUCGGAAUUACUGGGCGUAAAGCGUGCGCAGGCGGUUUCGCAAGUCAGAUGUGAAAGCCCCGGGCUCAACCUGGGAAUUGCAUUCGAGACUGAAUAGCUAGGGUGCGGUAGAGGGAAGCGGAAUUUCCGGUGUAGCGGUGAAAUGCGUAGAUAUCGGAAGGAACAUCAGUGGCGAAAGCGGCUUCCUGGACCAGCACCGACGUUCAGGCACGAAAGCGUGGGGAGCAAACAGG
rnacentral:rRNA from 1 species